ensembl:lncRNA
AUUUCUUGCAGGUGAGCACAGGGUGGCAGCUGCUCCCUGCAGUGUUUUCCUGCUCGGGUCAGUCUCUCCUGGGGAAGCAAUGACAGAAACUAGGCCAGAUGGUGCGGGAGAGAGAGAGAGAGACAGAGCGGGCCGCUCUCAACCUGACCAACUGCACCACAUUCAAGUGUUCUCGUUCCGCAGCAGGUAGUGGCUGGGAGCAGCAGGAUUCUGGAAGAUUGUAAGAGAACGCCUUAAUGAGCUGAAGGCCUCCUCGGCUGGAAACAAA